CCUACGGGAGGCAGCAGUGGGGAAUAUUGCACAAUGGUGGUAACCCUGAUGCAGCAAUGCCGCGUGAAGGAUGAAGGUUUUCGGAUUUUAAACUUGUUUUUUACGGGACGAAGCAUGUGACGGUACCGUAAGUUUAAGCCACGGCUAACUACGUGCCAGCAGCCGCGGUAUUCCGUAGGUGGCAAGCGUGAUCCGGAUUGACUGGGUGUAAGGGGCGAGUCGGCGGGAUUGCAAGUCAGAUGUGAAAACUAUGGGCUCAACCGAUAGAGUGCAUUGGAAACUGCAGUUCUUGAGUGAUGGAGAGGAAGGCGGAAUUCGCGGUGUAGCGGUGGAAUGCGUAGAUAUCGUGAGGAACACCAGUGGCGAAGGCAGCCUGCUGCACAUUAACUGACGCUGAGGCGCGAAAGCGUGGGGAGCAAACAGGAUUAGAUACCCCGGUAGUC
rnacentral:rRNA from 1 species